GGAUGAACGCUGGCGGCGUGCCUAAUACAUGCAAGUCGAGCGAACAGAUGAGGAGCUUGCUCCUCUGACGUUAGCGGCGGACGGGUGAGUAACACGUGGAUAACCUACCUAUAAGACUGGGGUAACUUCGGGAAACCGGAGCUAAUACCGGAUAAUAUAUUGAACCGCAUGGUUCAAUAGUGAAAGACGGUUUUGCUGUCACUUAUAGAUGGAUCCGCGCCGCAUUAGCUAGUUGGUAAGGUAACGGCUUACCAAGGCAACGAUGCGUAGCCGACCUGAGAGGGUGAUCGGCCACACUGGAACUGAGACACGGUCCAGACUCCUACGGGAGGCAGCAGUAGGGAAUCUUCCGCAAUGGGCGAAAGCCUGACGGAGCAACGCCGCGUGAGUGAUGAAGGUCUUCGGAUCGUAAAACUCUGUUAUUAGGGAAGAACAAAUGUGUAAGUAACUAUGCACGUCUUGACGGUACCUAAUCAGAAAGCCACGGCUAACUACGUG
rnacentral:rRNA from 1 species